rnacentral:rRNA from 1 species
AGUGAACGCUGGCGGUAGGCCUAACACAUGCAAGUCGAACGGCAGCACAGUAAGAGCUUGCUCUUACGGGUGGCGAGUGGCGGACGGGUGAGGAAUACAUCGGAAUCUACUUUUUCGUGGGGGAUAACGUAGGGAAACUUACGCUAAUACCGCAUACGACCUACGGGUGAAAGCAGGGGAUCUUCGGACCUUGCGUGAUUGAAUGAGCCGAUGUCGGAUUAGCUAGUUGGCGGGGUAAAGGCCCACCAAGGCGACGAUCCGUAGCUGGUCUGAGAGGAUGAUCAGCCACGCUGGAACUGAGACACGGUCCAGACUCCUACGGGAGGCAGCAGUGGGGAAUAUUGGACAAUGGGCGCAAGCCUGAUCCAGCCAUACCGCGUGGGUGAAGAAGGCCUUCGGGUUGUAAAGCCCUUUUGUUGGGAAAGAAAAGCAGCAGGUUAAUACCCCGCUGUUCUGACGGUACCCAAAGAAUAGGCACCGGCUAACUUCGUG